UGCAUCUCUAGGAGGAGGCUAGGUUGCUUGGAGUUGUUUGAAUCAUAGGAUAAGGCAUCAACCUUCACGUUGCUAACCAUGUAAUCAUUGUCGAUGGUUUGUGGAACCCUACUUAUGAUCUUCGGGCUUAGGUUUGGAGGUAUGGGCAAACAAAGCCAGUUUAUGCAUAUCGUUUGAUGGCACAUGGAACUAUGGAAGAAAAAAUAUAUAAACGGCAGGUGACAAAAGAGGGACUUGCUGCAAAGGGUGGUUGAUAGGCAACAAAUACAUCGGACCAUUUUUAAGUAAGGAGGUCUUGCAUCUCUUGGAUUUGUAUUUUAAUUGAUGGGACAUAAUUAUGAUGAUCAUUUGUUAA